UCUGCUUUCAAAUCUCGAUGGAAAUGUAUCUGCAAAUGUUGCGUGCUUGUAAGGGCACCUCAGCGACGAGAAAGCCCUAUGGAAUGCAAUGGGCCUUUCUUCCAAGAAGCCAUGUAUGGAAUUGUACUGUGAAUCCCUCAUGCAGGUGUAGAUUUUGAGAGUGAAGUAAGUGAAAAGUGAGGAAGUAAUUUAUUGGAUUCCACCGCUGAUUUUUCUGCAACAAAUUCUUGAGUUUCUUUUCACUACUGAAAACAACUGGAUGAUAGGAGCUAUUUCCUCAUCUUUAUACUGCUGCUGCUAUUGUUGUUGUGAUUUGUAUACCUUUUCAUAGUUCAAAGAAAUGUCUGAGUGGUUUGCCCACACACGUGUGCCUAAAGAAAGUCUAGGAUCUUGAAAAGCCUAAAACAAAUGCUUGGAUUUCCACAACUUAUAUAAACUGAGGGCUGAUUCACAGGGCCCACCUCUCCCCCCCCUACUUUGUGGUGCUCACCUUCCCACCCACCGCCCCUUUAGACUAGCUGGGAUUUCCUCAUCUUACUGAGUGAAAUACGUUACCUAUUAGCUAUGUGUAGAAAGAGCCAGCGUUAUGUAUCACUGCAACUGCCAGUGAAACUAGCACCUUCUGCUAGAUGUGGAAAAGAAGCAAGUAUUUUCUUUUUUUAAAAAAAUCUGUGUUUUCUCCAGUACUUGUAACAUUGCUCAAGGUAGUAGUAUAACGCCUGCUGUGCCUUUUUCCGUUUCUCACAAAAACCUGCUUGCCUGGCUGACUGAGGAGGGGGGAGGGAUGGGAAUGGUGACCAUGACCUUGGAAACCUUCUGAAAAUUGUGGUGUCUUCAAAGAAACCAAAUUAAAUACCACACUUCUCUUAUCCAGUAGUGCUUUUCGUCAUUUCAGAUUUUGCCCUGUUUGGGGGUUAAGAAAUAUAUUCACACAAGGAGGUGAGUCAGAAAGGUAGCUUUGAAUCAGGAAUGCAUUUGAAAAUUUGGAGCAGAAAACAGACAAUGCCUAUUAAUGAAAGAGUUCCUUAAAAAACCCAAACCCUUCCAUUGCCAGUUAUGUGUGUAUGGCCAGGAGAUUUACUCCUUACAAACAUUUCUAGCUGUUCUGAGGUAAUUAAUCCAACGAUGUUUUGAAAACAGAUAUUGCCUUUUGUUUUUCCUCAUGGAUUUGAAAGAGAUUCAGCAUCUUCUUGUGCCAAAAAAAAUCUGAAAGAAAUCACUAGUAAUCCAGGAGAAACUGAUGUAGCAGAUGGUUAGGAGUGUAGGGUGAAGGGACAUACAUAUGUGUAAAAAUAUGUACUAUUAUUAAUAGUUUUGCCAUUAGGAAGGAGACUGAUACAGUUCCGCUUGUUUUUUCAGUAUCAGUUGCUUUUUCAGACUAAACACAGACUUUGGGUGGGAAGCUGUGGGUUACAAUACAUGCCUUACUAGAAGAAAAUACACACACAUACACACAAAACCCCUCAGAGCAACUGUGAAUAGCAAUUAAAGUCAUCCAUAAUAACAGCUCUUGGUUGUUUUGUUUCCUGGAAAACCAUGGAGGACAGGGCUAUCAAUGGCUACUAGCCGUGAUGGCUGUGCUGUGCCACCCUAGUCAGAGGCAGCAUGCUUCUGAAAACCAGUUGCCAGAAGCCUCAGGAG